rnacentral:rRNA from 1 species
AUACGGAGGAUCCGAGCGUUAUCCGGAUUUAUUGGGUUUAAAGGGUGCGCAGGCGGCCAUUUAAGUCAGCGGUUAAAUCGUGGGGCUCAACCCCAUUCUGCCGUUGAUACUGGGUGGCUUGAUUGCGGUCGAGGUUGGCGGAAUUCGUUGUGUAGCGGUGAAAUGCAUAGAUAUGACGAAGAACACCGAUUGCGUAGGCAGCUGACCAGACCGCAAAUGACGCUCAUGCACGAAAGUGCGGGGAUCGAACAGGAUUGGAUACCCUGGUAGUCCGCACAGUAAAGAUGAAUACUUGUUUUCGGCGAUAUAAUGUCGGAGGCAAAGCGAAAGCGAUAAGUAUUCCACCUGGGGAGUACGCCGGCAACGGUGAAACUCAAAGGAAUUGACGGGG